rnacentral:lncRNA from 1 species
AAAAACCACACCAUGGCUGUGCUGGCUGUAAUUUAAAUAGCUUGGUAUAUUUGGUCACCUCUUUGUAAACAAUGCUGAUUAUAAAAGCUUUUUUAAAAAGCAUCUUUUUAAGCUUUUUUAAGCAUUUCUUUUAAAAAGAGACAUAAUUUUGUGACAUGUUUUUUUGGUCUCUGUAAUUUUAAUCAUUUGGUUACCCUUUAUGAUCACAAACUGACUUUUAAAAUUUGUUUCAAUCAGAUUCUCAAAAUUUGCAUUUUGUAUAUAAUGUGGAUAUGUGAAGUUAUUACCAUUGGCACUUUUUUGAAUCAAGAAGUCAAGAUUAUAUUUCUCAUUUUAAUUGGAUUUGAAAGAAGCUAGCAAAACUUAGAUCCCUCAAGAGGAUCAUUGUAAUUGGGGUGUUAAAGUUUAUGUACCAGUGAAUUUUUGAAACCGUAUCUUUGGAAGAGCACCUUAAUAAUCCUGAUCAAUUUCAGAUCUUUAUUCUGUAUUUAUAAUUUUUAUACUCUGGGGAUUUCUUUCAUAUUUUCCUCUCAGAUUGAUGUUCAGGAAGUGCUAAGAGAGCCACCUUUAUGAGCACAAUGAUGGGAAAGAGCCAUCUCUCUCUGAGCCCAGUAGAACAGGUG